rnacentral:ncRNA from 1 species
AUUCACCACUAGGGGUGCCAUUAGAAUGGCUGAGAUCAAAGUGUGACUUUGAGACUCUUGGAACCUGAUUUGGUUUAUACCAACGUAGGGAAGUGGCACGGCAGAAAU